UAGGGAAUCUUCGGCAAUGGACGAAAGUCUGACCGAGCAACGCCGCGUGAGUGAAGAAGGUUUUCGGAUCGUAAAACUCUGUUGUUAGAGAAGAACAAGGACGUUAGUAACUGAACGUCCCCUGACGGUAUCUAACCAGAAAGCCACGGCUAACUACGUGCCAGCAGCCGCGGUAAUACGUAGGUGGCAAGCGUUAUCCGGAUUUAUUGGGCGUAAAGGGAACGCAGGCGGUCUUUUAAGUCUGAUGUGAAAGCCUUCGGCUUAACCGGAGUAGUGCAUUGGAAACUGGGGGACUUGAGUGCAGAAGAGGAGAGUGGAACUCCAUGUGUAGCGGUGAAAUGCGUAGAUAUAUGGAAGAACACCAGUGGCGAAAGCGGCUCUCUGGUCUGUAACUGACGCUGAGGUUCGAAAGCGUGGGUAGCAAACAG
rnacentral:rRNA from 1 species